GAGCAAUAAUUUCGAUUCUUUUUUUUGCCGCCAAUGUGCCAGCUAGAAUUUGGGUGGGUCAUUUCCUUUUUCCCCUUCCUUUAUACGAGCACCUUCCAUUUUCCUUGUUGAUUGGCCCACACUAAAGUUCCUAUAUUUGCAAAUCAAGGAUCUAGACAUAAUAGGCUUGAAAUGUGACCAUAAAUUGGUUAGCCCAGCCUUUGCGACUCACUCACAAAACUCAACCUCACCUCUCUUGAAACCUGCACGCCACCGGAGUUACAUAUUCCGCCGGAGCAAACGGAGUCGCCAGAGAUCGAGGAAGCCGCCGGAGUUUGAAGUGAUCACCGUAAACACUUUCGCCGUAGUCGGAAACUCAACGGAGUUACGUACGGAGGUCACGACAGGAAACCUUGCAUCAUCGAGCACCGGAGAAAGCCGACAUCAUCGGAGAACGCAGCCGUCGCCGGAUUCGCGUCGGAGGUUCACAAUGUUUCGGAUAAACCGUUCGUUCUCUUGGAUUUCUCCAAUCCUUACUUGUGUGUUGUUUCAAGAAUUCUCACACGCAACCAAUGUUGACUAAUGAAGUAUGGAUGAUUGAUGAAACAAGUUUAGGGUGGACUAGAUACACACCUAGAUUAAUCUAUCUUUUAUUGUAAUGUUUUGUUAUGAAGCAAUGUUGUUAUUUUUAUUUGAAUCUUGUAUGAUGUUUAGUAUUGAAAUGAAAUUUGAAUUUAAUUAAA